AUUGAACGCUGGCGGCAGGCCUAGCACAUGCAAGUCGAACGGUAACAGGAAGAAGCUUGCUUCUUUGCUGGCGAGUGGCGGACGGGUGAGUAAUGUCUGGGAAACUGCCUGAUGGAGGGGGAUAACUACUGGAAACGGUAGCUAAUACCGCAUAACGUCGCAAGACCAAAGAGGGGGACCUUCGGGCCUCUUGCCAUCGGAUGUGCCCAGAUGGGAUUAGCUAGUAGGUGGGGUAACGGCUCACCUAGGCGACGAUCCCUAGCUGGUCUGAGAGGAUGACCAGCCACACUGGAACUGAGACACGGUCCAGACUCCUACGGGAGGCAGCAGUGGGGAAUAUUGCACAAUGGGCGCAAGCCUGAUGCAGCCAUGCCGCGUGUAUGAAGAAGGCCUUCGGGUUGUAAAGUACUUUCAGCGGGGAGGAAGGGAGUAAAGUUAAUACCUUUGCUCAUUGACGUUACCCGCAGAAGAAGCACCGGCUAACUCCGUG
rnacentral:rRNA from 1 species